UUGUUGCUAUCUAGGUUAGUGAAGGCUAUUUUAAUUUUUUUAAAAUUUCUUUCACUACUUAGG
ensembl:miRNA MIR3606 microRNA 3606